rnacentral:rRNA from 1 species
UACGAAGGGUGCAAACGUUGCUCGGAAUUAUUGGGCGUAAAGCGCACGUAGGCGGCCAACUAAGUCCGACGUGAAAUCCCAAGGCUUAACCUUGGAACUGCGUCGGAUACUGGAUGGCUUGAAUUCGGGAGAGGGAUGCAGAAUUCCAGGUGUAGCGGUGAAAUGCGUAGAUAUCUGGAGGGAUACCGGUGGCGAAGGCGGCAUCCUGGACCGACAUUGACGCUGAUGAGCGAAAGCUAGGGGAGCAAACGGG